rnacentral:rRNA from 1 species
GACGAACGCUGGCGGCGUGCUUAACACAUGCAAGUCGAACGGAAAGGCCCUGCGUUUGUGGGGUGCUCGAGUGGCGAACGGGUGAGUAACACGUGAGUAACCUGCCCUUGACUUUGGGAUAACUUCAGGAAACUGGGGCUAAUACCGGAUAGGAGCUCCUGCUGCAUGGUGGGGGUUGGAAAGUUUCGGCGGUUGGGGAUGGACUCGCGGCUUAUCAGCUUGUUGGGGUGGUAGUGGCUUACCAAGGCUUUGACGGGUAGCCGGCCUGAGAGGGUGACCGGCCACAUUGGGACUGAGAUACGGACCAGACUCCUACGGGAGGCAGCAGUGGGGAACAUUGCACAAUGGGCGGAAGCCUGAUGCAGCAACGCCGCGUGCGGGAUGACGGCCUUCGGGUUGUAAACCGCUUUCGCCUGUGACGAAGCGUGAGUGACGGUAAUGGGUAAAGAAGCACCGGCUAACUACGUG